ensembl:lncRNA
NNNNNNNNNNNNNNNNNNNNNNNNNNNNNNNNNNNNNNNNNNNNNNNNNNNNNNNNNNNNGCGACGGGGACCCGCGUGGGGACAGGGAUGCGGAGGAGGACAUGGGGAUGGAGACAAGGUUGGGGACAGGGGCACGGAGAAGGACACGGGGAUGGAGACAAGGUUGGGGACAGGGGCACGGAGAAGGACACGGGGAUGGGGACCAGAUUGGGGACACGGGGAUGGAGAAGGAUAUGGGGACGGGGACCAGGUUGGGGACACAGGGAUGGAGAAGGACAUGGGGACGGGGACCUGCUUGGGGACAGGGGCAUGGAGGAGGACAUGGGGAUGGAGACAAGGUUGGGGACACGGGGCACGGAGAAGGACACGGGGAUGGAGACAAGGUUGGGGACAGGGGCACAGAGGACACAGGGACAGGGACAAGGUUGGGGACACAGGGAUGGAGAAGGACAUGGAAACAGAGAAGGACACGGGGACGGGGAACAGGUUGGGGACACAGGGAUGGAGAAAGACAUGGGGACAGAGGAGGACGUGGGGAUGGGGACCUGCUUGGGGACACAGGGAUGGAGAAGGACACGGGGAUGGGGAUCCUCUUGGGGACACAGGGAUGGAGAAGGAUGUGGGGAUGGAAACCAGGUUGGGGACACGGGGACAGGGACUUGCUUGGGGACAGGAGAAGAGGAGGACGGUUGACACAGGGAGCAGGUUGGGGACAGGGCAAACAAGGACACGGGGACGGGGACACGCACGGGGCUGUGGUGUUGGGGACACGGGGACAGGACACAGGCAGGGUCCCCUGUCCCCGUGUCACCCCCCGUGUCCCCACGUCCUGCUGUGUCCCCUGCUGUCUGCAUUGUCCCCACGGGCCCUCGUGUCCCCACCCUCCUCCAUGUCCCCUUCCCGUGUCCCUGUGUCCCAUCGUGUCCUGUGUUCCAUGUCCCCAUGUCCGUGUCCCCAUGUCCCUCUUCCUGUGUCCCCUUGUCCUGUUUCAUGUCUCUGUGUUCUCUAUCCCUGUGUCCCAUCAUGUCAUGUGUCUCUGUCCUCUGUCCCCAUGUCCCCCUUCCCCUGUCCCCGUGUCCUCUGUCCUUGUGUCUCCCAUGUCUGUGUGUCCCUGUCCCAUCACGUCCCAUGUCCACGUCCGUGUCCCACAUCUACGUCCCACCACGUUCUCCUGUUCCAUGUUCUUGUGUCUCCCCGCGUCGGUGGCCCGUGUCCCCAUGUCCCUGUGUCCCCACCGUGUCCCCCCGUGUCCCCGUGUCCCAUGUCCCCACCGUGUCCCCCCGUGUCCCCACCUUCCUCUGGAAGACGAGGCCGAACUCGCGCAGGUGCUGCAGGAAGGUCAGCAGGGAGUCGCUCAUGCCCUCCACCGAGUAGUCCUGGAGCGGGGGGACCAGUAUCUCCCAGUUAAUCCCAGUUACCUCCCAGUAACAUCCCAAGAAACCCCGGCCCUCCACCGAGUAGUCCUGGGGGGGGUCCCAGUAUAUCCCAGUUACCUCCCAGUUACCUCCCAGGAACCCCCGGCCCUCCACCGAGUACUCCUGGAGUGGGGGUCCCAGUUACUCCCAGUUAAUGCCAGUUAUCUCCCCGUAACAUCCCAGUAACCCCCAGCCCUCCACCGAGUAGUCCUGGAGCAGGGGUCCCAGUUACUCCCAGUUAAUGCCAGUUACCUCCCAGUAACAUCCCAGUAACCCCCGGCCCUCCACCGAGUAGUCCUGGA